UACAGAGGUCCCAAGCGUUGUUCGGAUUCACUGGGCGUAAAGGGUGCGUAGGCGGUCGGGUAAGUCUGAUGUGAAAUCUCACAGCUUAACUGUGAAACUGCAUUGGAUACUAUUCGGCUAGAGAGUUGGAGGGGGGACUGGAAUUCUUGGUGUAGCAGUGAAAUGCGUAGAUAUCAAGAGGAACACCAGUGGCGAAGGCGAGUCCCUGGACAACUUCUGACGCUGAGGCACGAAAGCGUGGGGAGCAAACAGG
rnacentral:rRNA from 1 species